UACGAAGGGGGCUAGCGUUGCUCGGAAUUACUGGGCGUAAAGCGCACGUAGGCGGCUUCUUAAGUCGGUGGUGAAAUCCUGGAGCUCAACUCCAGAACUGCCUUCGAUACUGGGGAGCUCGAGUCCCGGGGAGAGGUGAGUGGAACUGCGAGUGUAGAGGUGAAAAUUCGUAGAUAUUCGCAAGAACACCAGUGGCGAAGGCGGCUCACUGGCCCGGUACUGACGCUGAGGUGCGAAAGCGUGGGGA
rnacentral:rRNA from 1 species